GAUGAACGCUAGCGGCAGGCCUAAUACAUGCAAGUCGAACGGGAUUAAGAGGCUUGCUUCUUAUGAGAGUGGCGCACGGGUGCGUAACACGUAUGCAACCUACCUUUAACUGGGGGAUAGCCUUCCGAAAGGAAGAUUAAUACCGCAUAAUAUAAUGAAGUGGCAUCACUUUAUUAUCAAACUAUUUGGGUUAAAGAUGGGCAUGCGUCCGAUUAGCUAGUUGGUACGGUAACGGCGUACCAAGGCGACGAUCGGUAGGGGAUCUGAGAGGAUGGCCCCCCACACUGGUACUGAGACACGAACCAGACUCCUACGGGAGGCAGCAGUAAGGAAUAUUGGUCAAUGGACGGAAGUCUGAACCAGCCAUGCCGCGUGCAGGAAGACGGUCCUCUGGAUUGUAAACUGCUUUUGUUAGGGAAGAAACUUCCGUACGUGUACGGGACUGACGGUACCUAAAGAAUAAGGAUCGGCUAACUCCGUGCCAGCCGCCACGGUAAGAC
rnacentral:rRNA from 1 species